rnacentral:lncRNA from 1 species
UACCAGUAGCUUAUCUAAUACUAUAUUAGUUAAAUCCUGUCCCUGUAUCAAGCUGAGUCGUGGAACUUCCUCUGGGUGCUGCCCUUGCUAGAGUAUCUUCUUCUUGUUUACUGCAAAUUGCAUAAUUAAGGAGCUGAAAUCCCAUAAAAUUGGACCAAGGGUACACAACCAUUUAACCCCCAAAAUCAUAUCAAACCCUUCUAAUGGUAUUGUAUAAAAAUAAGCUUGAAAGUUGUCAUUGGCCACAACGAACUGUACUGAUU